rnacentral:piRNA from 1 species
UUCUUUUGGACAACAUAUUGCUGCCA